rnacentral:hammerhead_ribozyme from 1 species
ACACUCUUGAGGAGUCCCACCAUAGGACGAAACGGCCUUCCAGUAU